GACGAGCCACACGACCGUUAUUCGGAAUUACUGGGCUUAAAGGGUGCGUAGGCGGCGUGGAAAGUUGGGUGUGAAAUCCCUCGGCUUAACCGAGGAACUGCGCCCAAAACUACCAUGCUCGAGGAAGAUAGAGGUGAGCGGAACUUACGGUGGAGCGGUGAAAUGCGUUGAUAUCAGGAGGAACACCUGUGGUGUAGACAGCUUUCUGGACCAUUACUGACACUGAGACACGAAAGCGUGGGUAGCAAACAGG
rnacentral:rRNA from 1 species